GCCGCCCUGCCUAAUUUACACCGUGCUGUGAAUGAUAGACAGGGAGGCAGGCAUUUCGGCAGACAGCCUCUACUGCUGUGUGUCUGCGUGUCCUCAAAGCCGACCGUACGACCAGGCCCACUGACUGACCCUCGGCCUGAGACAGUCCGGGGAGGAUAGGAAGGAAAACAGCCCCAACAAAGACUCUCACAUGGCUGGAGAGAAAAAGAGAGGGAGCUAAUGGAGGAAAAAACACAGCCUCCCAAUCCAUCUGCUGAGUAAGCAGAACCCAAUCCGCUGACUCAUCAGUCCACUGCCAGAACCAGGCAGCCAGACGCACCACAACACGCCCCCACAGCCACAGCUCUCCUCACUUAUCACCCCAACUACAAGGUUCACCAGCUGACCUCUGUCAAGACACCCAUGUCGACUGGAUUCCCACUGUAGUAGCAUCAGUUUCUACUACUACUACUUUGUCCUUUUCCAGAUAUGAAAGGAGAUAUCCCCCAGUUAGACAAAGUGGUUGUCAUAUGCUGUGUCUUGGUCAAUCUGAAUGAUUCUGUUGUGCCAUUUGGGUAGAGAUCACCUUCACCUUGUCGUCAUGACAAAAGUGUCCCCUUAAACCUAAUGAAGGUUGUAGGAAUAACUGCUGAUUAAACAGAAUCAGUUUCACAGUAAUGUAUUCAUGAAGAUAUGUAUGAAUAUAUUAAAUGUAAUUUGGAACAACAUGUAAAAUACUAUUGUUUAAGAUAUUGUAAACAUGCUGUACUUCAACAAUAGACUAUAU
rnacentral:lncRNA from 1 species